GCGGUGGAUGAUGUGGAUUAAUUCGAUGCAACGCGAAGAACCUUACCUACCCUUGACAUGUCCGGAACUUGCCAGAGAUGGCUUGGUGCCCGAAAGGGAACCGGAACACAGGUGCUGCAUGGCUGUCGUCAGCUCGUGUCGUGAGAUGUUGGUUAAGUCCCGCAACGAGCGCAACCCUUGUCCUUAGUCGCUACGCAAGAGCACUCUAAGGAGACUGCCGGUGACAAACCGGAGGAAGGUGGGGAUGACGUCAAGUCCUCAUGGCCCUUAUGGGUAGGGCUUCACACGUCAUACAAUGGUCGGUACAGAGGGUUGCCAAGCCGCGAGGUGGAGCCAAUCCCACAAAGCCGAUCGUAGUCCGGAUUGUUCUCUGCAACUCGAGAGCAUGAAGUCGGAAUCGCUAGUAAUCGCAGGUCAGCAUACCGCGGUGAAUACGUUCCCGGGUCUU
rnacentral:rRNA from 1 species